rnacentral:rRNA from 1 species
UAGGCGUAAAUGAUGCGAGUUAAGUGUGGGGGCAUCUACGAGAUGGCCCUGUGCUGUAGGGUAGCCGUUAAACUCGCUGCCUGGGGAGUACGGUCGCAAGGCUGAAACUUAAAGGAAUUGGCGGGGGAGGCACCACAACGGGUGGAGCCUGCGGUUUAAUCGGACUCAACGCCGGGAAUCUCACCGGAUAAGACAGCUGAAUGAUAGUCGGGAUGAAGACUCUACUUGACUAGCUGAGAGGAGGUGCAUGGCGUAGUCGUGU